CCCCCCCGAAACUGAAAAACGGCAUGCAUUUCUGGCGCUGAUUACUAAAAACGGCACGAAACAACCGCAGGUUGAUACGACUCCACACAAAACAUGCAGAGCUGCUUUGUCCUUUUUGACAGGUGGCGCAGAGCUCAAACUAUGUACUCAACACACACUCUGCACCAAGUUAAAAUGCCUUACUGCUCGCUCAGUCUCGUUGGUGACCUCUGCUUUUGUCCCCUAUUUCUUAUGCUUUUUGUCAGUGAUACUUACUGCGCAAUGUAUGACAUUUUUGUGGACUAAGUAAAACUUCCUUUACAUA